GAUGAACGCUGGCGGCGUGCCUAAUACAUGCAAGUCGAGCGAACAGAUGAGGAGCUUGCUCCUCUGACGUUAGCGGCGGACGGGUGAGUAACACGUGGAUAACCUACCUAUAAGACUGGGAUAACUACGGGAAACCGGAGCUAAUACCGGAUAAUAUAUUGAACCGCAUGGUUCAAUAGUGAAAGACGGUUUUGCUGUCACUUAUAGAUGGAUCCGCGCCGCAUUAGCCAGUUGGUAAGGUAACGGCUUACCAAGGCAACGAUGCGUAGCCGACCUGAGAGGGUGAUCGGCCACACUGGAACUGAGACACGGUCCAGACUCCUACGGGAGGCAGCAGUAGGGAAUCUUCCGCAAUGGGCGAAAGCCUGACGGAGCAACGCCGCGUGAGUGAUGAAGGUCUUCGGAUCGUAAAACUCUGUUAUUAGGGAAGAACAAAUGUGUAAGUAACUAUGCACGUCUUGACGGUACCUAAUCAGAAAGCCACGGCUAACUACGUG
rnacentral:rRNA from 1 species